CUUUUUUUUUUUUUUUUUUAUUUCAGAUGAUUAACAGAUAUGGUUUUUAAUUUGGGAUGUUUUGCUUCCUGUGAAUUUGUUUUUAAAUUUGAUUAAUUGAGACACACACACAGGACGAAAUCUCUUCUCGACUGGUUAAGAGAGAGAGAACGUAAUCUCUUCUCUUGACUGGUUGGGUUCCACAAAUAUUGUGGAUAAACAUUCGCCCUUGACACCAUAACAAAGCUGUUGUUUAUUUGCAUAUGUUUUCCUGACGUAGGCAAAUUAUUGAACCAUGUAAGAAUUCCUCGUGCCUUGUUGUUUCUCUGCUUUUUGGUUUAAUCCUAUCGCUGAGUGUGUGCUGUGCAAGAUCAUCCCUAACAAAUGCUUGUGGAUGUUGCGUUGCAAGUUCAGAUACACAAAUGGUCUAUUUUGUUAUGUUUUAUUAAGAACUAUGAUAAAUUCAUGGAUUCUUUUGAUUGCUCUCUCCGGAUAUGCAUUUUGUUUCUUCAUAAUCCAAGCCAAUGAUCUUUACGUCAAAAUCUUAUAUUGUGUACUGUAAAUAGGUAAAUAAAGAAAUAGUGAAGG
rnacentral:misc_RNA from 1 species